GGCCGCCAUCUUUGGCUAAUAACCCAUGUUUUGCUGCCACAUCAGUUGGUAUAUAUGAAAAGUGUCGGUUGCGACUAGCAUGAUAUGGAAUUGACCUAAGUAGCAAUAGAAGGCCACUUGCCUUACCAACAUGAGAUGCUGCAUGGUCAGCUGCAGUGGACCUGAUGCCACCAGCUUGAAGUGUCAUGUAUAGCAUUGUUGAUACAGUGUCUUCGGCAUAUUUUUCCAACUCUUCUAAAGUUUCUGGGAUGUCAGUAACACCCCUCCUUGCAUCAUUGAUGCGUGCUUCAACAGACCGUUUCAACCAACCCUUAGUAAUUCUAUUUUCAGAUAUCACCGAUGAGAGGGCCUGCGCUGUUGGGUGCUCAACCAACUUGUUGGAAUAAAUCUUAUCUAUAGUUUCUUGCCACCAGAGGAGGCGCAUAAGACCAAUCCUGGGAUCUGAAGCAACAUCCAUGGCUCUGGCAGUUUCAACGUUCAAGGCACGAAGGGCAAAUGCAGCCUUUCGCAUGUUAGGGGGAAGCUCGAGGAGGCAGAGAUAGUGAUGGUAAUCAUAAUUUCGAACUUGUUGUACACAGGAGGAGAAAGCUGCACGUAAGCUACUAGAAACACCUUUCAUCAAAUCCCCAGUGUAGUUCCCCCAAAAGAGUAAUAUGGAGGAUAGCUAAGUGCAAACCAUUUUCCAAUUGAAGCUUCAAAAUCUAAAUGGCAAUCCUCGAUGGCAAGUCAAGACUCGAGAGAUCUAAAGAAAGGAAAGUAGUUCGUUUCGAAUCUUCCUCAACAUACUGCAGCCUCCAAGAAAGCAGUAU
rnacentral:misc_RNA from 1 species